rnacentral:lncRNA from 1 species
UGGCCAGUGAGGUUGGUGUUAUUUUUAUUUUAUAUAUUUAUUAUUUUACAAUUAGGAAUUCAAGGCACAUUGUGGCAAAUACAGAUUUCAGUGAUGUGUAGUGAUUCAAGGUAAUAAUUAUGAAGAGCUUGUAAUAACAUAGAAAAAUUAGUAGGUGGCAAUAUUAAGUGGAAAAGUAAAUAGACAUUAUAAUAUCAAUUGUAUAAAAUAGGUACUAAAAAGGACUUGAAAACAUAUUAAAAUAUUACCAAUGGCUGCCCUUGGAUGGUGAAUUACCUUCUAUGUAAUUUUCUAUAUUCGCUGAACUGUCUAUAAUGAGCAUGAUUGAUUUUUAAUAUUAGGAAAAAUAAAACAAAUUGUUGAAAAGUUAACUUCACGUACACUAAAGCAUUACAGUGGAUAUACCUGGGUGAGUGGAAUUGUGGGGUUUUUUCUUCUUUGUGGUUUCUUCUUUUCUGGCAAUAAAUAUUCAUUGUUUUGGUGAAAAGGGAAAGAAUAAUAAAAGAAACGUAUUUAAAGAAUAAAAAGAACGAAAAAAUGUUACUUAGACUCUCUAAAUCCGAUAAUUCAUUCAAAGCAUGUAGAGUUUCCUUCCCUACCCCCUUUGCCACCCAAUUCUUUGUAACUUAAAGUAAUAAACCAUCAUCACUUUUUGCCUCAUAGAAAGUCAUCCCCGUUGCAGCACUGUAAGCCACAAACAGCAGGAAGUCACAUUCACUGAGCUGUGCAUUUGCAAAAUGCAUGAAGUCAGGAGUCUGUGUGAGCAAUAGCCCUGGUCUGCAGAAAUGUUUUACCAGUGCAUCAUAAAUGCUAGGUCAAUGAUGGUCAAAGUGCACAGAGCUCCGAGAGUGGGAGGCCUCCCCAGCCUGCAGGUUAGUAAUUAGGCAGCAAAUAAUGAGUUCAGACUACCAGUCUCUACUCCAACAAGAAGCAGGAUGAGAGCAGACUGACUACCUUCUGAAUUUCUCUGGGAGAAUGGACUUACUCUGGCCUCUCCAAAAGCCCAGCCCCACAGGGAAAAUGAACGCUUCCCAGGUCCAGCCAACAUCAUAAUUAGAGUUAAUCAUCUCCAGGUAAUACAGAGUUGACUAUAAUUUUGUUUUAACUGUGGUUGUAGAUUUUUCCCUACCUGCCAUUCCAUCACUCCCCGCCUGCCAAUACCUCCACUGAAUUGAGAGUUGACUAUAAUAAUAUGUUAAAAGGCGAUUUUAUG